GAUGAACGCUGGCGGCGUGCUUAACACAUGCAAGUCGAACGGAAAGGCCCUGCUUUUGUGGGGUGCUCGAGUGGCGAACGGGUGAGUAACACGUGAGUAACCUGCCCUUGACUUUGGGAUAACUUCAGGAAACUGGGGCUAAUAUCGGAUAGGAGCUCCUGCUGCAUGGUGGUGGUUGGAAAGUUUCGGCGGUUGGGGAUAGAAUCGCGGCUUAUCAGCUUGUUGGUGGGGUAGUGGCUUACCAAGGUUUUGACGGGUAGCCGGCCUGAGAGGGUGACCGGGCGCAUUAGGACUGAGAUACGGCCCAGUCUCCUACGGGAGGCAACGGUGGGGAGUAUGGCACAAUAGGCGGGAGCCUGAUGCAGCAACGCCGCGUGCGGGAUGACGGCCUUCGGGUUGUAAACCGCUUUCGCCUGUGACGAAGCGUGAGUGACGGUAAUGAGUAAAGAAGCACCGGCUAACUACGUG
rnacentral:rRNA from 1 species